UUGUUUGGAUCUGGGGGGAGGGAGGUACAUGGGAUGGCGGUGUUGUGCCUUUAAUGACAGUGUGGCUGUGUUUUUUAAUUGAUGGUUAAAAGCAACGAACUUAAGCUUGUGUUUGCGUCUACUUUUUAUUAUUCAUCGUGAAAUUUUUCAUUUACCACUGGUUUUACAUCUGCAUCUCAUUGGCAUUUGUUAAUCCAAAAACCCCUAAAGAAUGCUGUGUUAGCUUUCUUAACAAAGCUUUUUAAUUUUCUUUUGGUUUGAUUUCCACCAAACACGUUUGAACUGAUGACAAGUUGGUUCAUUUGAAUAAGAACAACCAAAAGACAGUGCAGUUUUUUAAGCUUCCAGUUUCUCGUGCCAGCCACUCUUUACAGCAAAAAGAGGUUUACUCCUUCUGGUCUCCCGCUUUGCUUGGUUUGUGUAAAAGGUUUCCUUCGUCCCCCAAGCCCCAAGCUGGCUGACUGCCUUAGUGGGUGCUGUACUUCCUUCUCCGUAAGGAGCUGGAUUCCCAGGAGCCAAGUGGAAGCCGCCCUCCCAGCCUCUUCACUGCCCUCCUGGUGCCCUCGGGGCCUUGGCGGUGGGAAGGAGCUCACACUGGGACGUGCUGCUGCCUCCCUGAGAGAGUGUGGACGGCUCCUGCCUCACACAGCUGUCGUCAGGCCCGAGUGGACGCUGUUCCUGUUUGUCAAGUAAAAGCCAAAUUAGAAGAGGAAAAGGAGACUGCAUGAGCUCGUGUGGGAGGAGGCUCAGCGGCAGUGCAGAGCUGUGGUGAUUGUCAUAUCUGGCAGUCCUUGCUCCGUGACACCGGUCACGCAGACACACGCCCUGCGAGGGCCGUGCCCUGUGCCAUCCCUGCAGCAGGGCUACCACCAGCGCUCCACGUGUCAGAGUGGAGGAUGUGUCUGUCGCCUGGUAACUGUGCGGUGGCAUGGGGCGGGCACCAUUUGCAGAGGCUCCAGCGUGAGGGAAGUGGCUGUGCCGUGGUUUGGUGAGAUGGGACCCGAGGGAGCCCUGGGCGCGUGGGCCACGCUCAGAGUCAUGUUAGAGCCCGCCACACUCAGAGUCACAUUAGAGACAGAGCCCGCCACGCUCAGAGUCACGUUAGAGACAGAGCCCGCCACGCUCAGAGUCACGUUAGAGACAGAGCCCGCCACGCUCAGAGUCACGUUAGAGACAGAGCCCGCCACGCUCAGAGUCACGUUAGAGACAGAGCCCGCCACGCUCAGAGUCACGUUAGAGACAGAGCCCGCCACGCUCGGAGUCACGUUAGAGACAGAGCCCGCCACGCUCGGAGUCACGUUAGAGACAGAGCCCGCGGCCCGGGUGAAGUGCUAGCAGGCAGCGUGGAGAGGGCGCCUCCUCUCUGACUCGCAGGACUCGUGUUGGAAGGGUUAGGGGGUGUGUGAUCGACUGUUGGAACUGACGAUUGUAAGUAAGGAACAGUGGUUUCUUACAGUUGUCACAAAGAAUAUAGGAUUUGUGUUCUGAAUUGUCAAUUUCCUUUUUAUUUUUUUUUAUUUUUUUAUUUUUUGACAGGCAGAGUGGACAGUGAAAGAGAGAGACAGAGAGAAAGGUCUUCCUUUGCCGUUGGUUCACCCUCCAAUGGCUGCCGCGGCCGGCGCACCGCGCUGAUCCGAUGGCAGGAGCCAGGAGCCAGGUGCUUUUCCUGGUCUCCCAUGGGCUGCAGGGCCCAAGCACCUGGGCCAUCCUCCACUGCACUCCCUGGCCACAGCAGAGAGCUGGCCUGGAAGAGGGGCAACCGGGACAGAAUCCGGCGCCCCGACCGGGACUAGAACCCGGUGUGCCGGUGCCGCAAGGCGGAGGAUUGGCCUAGUGAGCCGCGGCGCCGGCCCGAGGAAUGUUCUUUCUAUACCCAAUUUGCUUACAGUUUUCAUCAUGAAAUGGUGUUGUAUUUUAUCAAAUGCUUUCUCUGCAUCUAUUGAGAUAAUCUUAUGGCUUUUGUUCUUCAAGUUGUUGAUGUGAUGUAUCACCCUGAGUGAUCUGUGAAUGUUGAACCAUCCCUGCAUACCUGGGAUAAAUCCCACUCGGUCUGGGUGAAUGAUCUUUCUGAUGUGUUGUUGGAUUCUAUUGGCUAGAAUUUUAUUGAAGAUUUUUGCGUCUUAUGUUCAUGAGGGAAAUUGGCCUGUAGUUCUCUUUGUUGUGUCUUUUUCAGGUUUGGGAAUUAAGAUGAUGCUGGCUUCUUAGAAGGAGUUCAGGAGGAUUCCCUCCCUUUCAGUUUAUUUGAGUAGCUUGAGAAGAAUUGGAGUCAGUUCUUUAAAGGUCUGAUAGAAUUCAGCAGUGAAGCCAUCCGGCCCUGGGCUUUCCUUUCUUGGGAGGGUCUUUAUUACCGAUUCAUUUUCCAUCUUGGUUAUUGGUCUGUUUAGGUUUUCUGUGUCUUCAUGGCUCCAUUUUGGUCGGUUGUAUGUGUCCAGGAAUCUAUCCAUUUCCUUUGGGUUUCCUGUUUGCUGGCAUACAGCUCUUUGUAGUAAUUUCUGAUGAUUCUUUUUAUUUCUGUGGUGUCUGUUGUUACAUUUCCUUUUUCAUCUCUAAUUUUAUUGAAUCGUGUCUUCCUCUUUUUUUGGUUAGGUGGGCCAAUGGUGUGACAAUUUUGUUUUUUCAAAAAAGCCAGCUUUUCAUUUCGUUUCUUUUGUAUCAGUUUUUUGUUUGUUUGUUUCAAUUUUAUUGAUUCUUCUCUAAUUUUAAUUAUUUCUUUUCUCCUACUAGUUUUGGCCUUGGUUUGCUGUUGUUUUUCUAAGUUCAUGACUUAGACCGUGUGGUAUCUGUACAUGAGAGCAGUUCCAUGCUUUAUCACGCAGAAACCCAGGUUCUUCGGCUCCGGGUAGAAAAACAACCCAAGCUCAGUUUCCCAUUCUCUGUGCACACAGCAGCAGUCACUUCUUGACCCCAGAAUGUGUGGUGGCUUCUCCCCGUCGGCAGGCAGGCAGCAGUUCUGCAGCGGGCCCGAGCUGGACAGCGUCAGAUCUAAUUCAGUCCUGAUGCGCUGCCCCACCUGGGGGUACAUCGCAUCCCAAGUCCAGGCCUCCAGAACUUGUGAAUAGCCAGCCGCCAGUGGCCUCCCGGGCCUUCUUUAGGCUGCAUUAAUUCGCUAGAGCAGCUCACAGAACUCAGAGAAACAAUUGCAUUUACCUUUUUAUAGUAAAAGUUUUUUUUAUUAAGAUUUAUUUAAUUUUGUGAAGGCAGUGUGACAAAGGAAGAGACUUAAAAGGAGCUCUUCCAUCUGUUGGUUCACUCCCCAGCUGGUCUAGGCCAGGCGGACGCAGAACUGCACCCAGAUGUCCGCUGGGUGGCAGGCACAGGCACCCAGCCCUGUCUGGCUCCCAGGUUCCUGAGCAGGGAGCUGGGCCGGAGCAGAGCUACCAGGAUUGAAACCAGCGCUCCCACGUGGGGCUGCGCCGCGAACAGCUCAACCCGCUGUGCCACAACAGCGACCCCUCAAAGCCUUUUCUUUUUUAAGAUUUAUUUGUUAUUUAUUUGAGAGGGAGAGAGAGAGAGAGAGGUCUUCCAUCUGCUGGUUCACUCCCCAGAUGGCUGCAGCAGCCAGAGCCGGGCCAGACUAAAGCCGAGAACCAGGAAUUUCUUUCAGAUCUCCCACAAGGGUGCAGGGGCCCAACCUCUUGGGCCAUCUUCCGCUGCUUUUCCAGGCACAUUGGGAGGGAGCUGGAUUGGAAGUGGAGCAGCCGGGACUCCAACCAGCACCCAUGUGGGAUGCUGGCAUCACAGGCAGCAGCUUUACCCGCUGCCCCCCAGUGCCAGCCCCUAAAAGCUAACUUCAGAUACACCUCUCUCCUCCAUGUGUGCCUGCUGUCAGUGGACUUCAGCUUAAAAGCAGGAGCCCAGGAGGUUCUGGCUGAGGCUGUGUAAAUUUCCUGAGUGAAAACUGCUGUUGUGAGAGAAGAGCCGUUCCUGUCUGGCGUCGGCUCCCACCACAGACGCCUGGCCCGGAGCUUCUCUCUGACCCUGGAGGCCCCAGGCCCCUCCAGGCCUCUGCACGCUGUCCGUCUCCUCUCCAGGGCUCUCCCAGGCACUGUCCCCGAGAUGGGAGUGGCCUCCCAGGCACUAGCACACACUGGGCCCGCUGACACCGUCGCGUUAGUUUAAGCCUUGCUUCCUGGAAGGAGCCACUCAGUCUCUCAAUGGCGUUCUUCGAUCCCACGGUGAAUUUCUGUUGUUGCCAUGAUUGGUGACUGUGUGUCUGGGAUAUUAGAGGUAGUACCACUUCCUGUAUCCAAGCUGUACGGACAGAAAUCAUAUCUGCUAUUUCCUCAGUAUUCCCAGUGCCUGCCACAAAAUACACCCUUACUAAAUAAUUCCUGAAUAAGCAAGCAAGGGGGCCGGCAGCAUAGCAUGGUCGGCUCACAUCCCACAUGGGUGCCAGUUUGAAUCCUGGCUGCUCCUCUUCCGACCCAGCUCUCUGCUGUGGCCUGGGAAGGCAGUGGAAGAUGCCCAAGUGCUUGGGCCCUGCCCCCACGUGGGAGGACACCGGGAAGAAGCUCCUGGCUCCUGGCUCCUGGCUUCGGCCUGGCCCAGCCCUGGCUGUUGCAACCAUUUGGAGAGUAAACCAGCAAAUGGAAGACUUGUCUCUCCUCUCUCUGUAACUCUGACUUUCAAACAAAUAAAUAAAUCUUAAAAAAAGAAAGAAAGAGAAGAAACAACAACAAAAAGAAGAGUCUGGGAGACGAGGUCAACAAGCAGGAAGCGCGGAGGUGGAGGAGUCUGAGGCGUGCCGAGAGGCGUGCGGCCGCCUGUCCCUGCCGACGCCGCGAGUGCCUCAGGAGGGCGCUGGGAGUGACCUGCAGACUGUCCGGCCAGCCCAGUGUGACUAUGCCACUUGAAAAUUUUAGCUGAAAGCAGAAAAUUCUUUAAAGCAGAAAAUUGUUUUGAAAGACUUGCUCUCUACUAGAGAGAGUGAGCCUCCACUUUUCACCAGCAGAUGUCGCCCUUAUUUUUUUUUUAAAUGCUUAUUAGACAACAAGGAAGGAAGGUGCCAGUUUGCUGAAAGUUUCGUGUCAUUAGCUGUGGCGUCCCUGAGUGGUUGCUCUUACUUUUUCUGAUUAAAACACGUGAUUGGCUGAUGCUCCGUAAACAGAAUCGGGUUGAGGUCCCAUUGCCCCUCCGUCUUCUGUGCUAUGUGGGCCCUGCUACCAGCAGGGCGGGAUCCUGUGGGCACCCGUCCCUGCCGUUUGGCCGGAAGGAGGCUGGCAGGAUGGCGGGAUGUCCUGGUGCUUUGAAAUUUGGAUCUGAAGAAAGAAUGUGGCUAAUCAAGAACUGCCCACUGGACUAACCUGAAUGCAAGGACAAUGCGAGUUUUGAGGCCUUCCCGUUGCCAUUUGAGGUUGUAUUAGGUGGCUGCUAGUUUCCAAGAUCCUGACAGUAGUGGCCUAAACCAGAGAAGGUUGAUCACUGCCUCCUGCGGAGGAGCCCAGAGGGGACUCUGGCAGCUCUGGCAGCUCCGACUUCCUGUCCCUCCUGUCCCAUCGCUUCACUGAGUGAGGUCUCGGCCUUUCUCUCCGUCCAGAGUGACCACAGAAGAGCGGCUACCGUGUCAGCACCCAGUGGCGGGCGUGGGCCAGCUGAAUGCACUGUGUGGUGUGAGACCCCAGGGGCCCCUGGUCUCUGUCCAACAAGUACUCGAUGACAUUUUCCUGUGUGCAAGACAGUACACUGGAGCUUCUCUGGAUAAUACAGGCAUAUAUAUAUAUAUAUAUAUAUAUAUAUAUAUUUAAAAGAGUUCCAAAAAGGAAGAGACAGAGAAAGAGAGAUCUUCUGUCCACUGGUUCACUCCCCAAAUGGCCACAGUGACCAGGGCUGGGCCAGGCCAAGACAGGAGCCAAGAGCCUCUUCUGGGUCUCCCACGUGGGUGCAGGGCCCAAGCACCUGGGCCAUCCUCUGCUGCUUUCUCGUCAUUAGCAGGGAGCGGGAUCAGAAGUGCAGCAGCCGGGUGUCUGACUGGUACCGGUAGGGGCAUCGCAGGCGGUGGCCUUCCCUGCUGGGCCGCCACACGAGUCCCGGAACGCAGGCUUUUAAAGGAAAGACUCUCACCCGCAAAAGCUUGUGAUCUGUCACGCUUUCUGGUUUUCCAAUCCCUGCUUCACCUUUAACCUUUAUAGAAAGAUAAUUAUUUAAAUGUAAUGCAUUUCUGAGAAACCAGCUUCAACUUUAUCUCUUUCAAGAAGACAGUUGCCAGGGCCGGCGCUGUGGCACACACAGGGGUUAAAGCCCGGCCUGCAGCAUCGGCAUCCCACAUGGGUGCAAGUUCGAGUCCCGGCUGCUCCACCUCCAAUCCAGCUCCCUGCUGAUGCACUUGGGUUAAGCAGCGGAGGGCAGCCCAAGUCCUUGUGCCCCUGUGCCCAUGUGGGAGACCCACAGGAAGCUCCUGGCUCCUGGCUUCAGAUCAGUUCAGCUCUGGCCAUUGUGGCCAUUUGGAGAGUGAACCAGUGGAUAGAAGACCUCUCUGUCUCUACCUCUCUCUGUAACUUUCAAAUAAAUAAAAUAAAUCUUUUUUUUUUUUUUAAAAAGGUAUUUGCCAUUUCUAGACCAGCACCAUCCAAUAGAAAUAUAAUGCAAGUCACAAACAUGAGGUGCAUUAAGUCUGUUUUAAAAUAAUCUAAUAAUGGGGGCCGGCGCUGUGGCAUGGCGGGUAAAGCUGUUGCCUGCAGCGCCUGCAACCGAUAUGGGUGCCAGUUCAAGUUCCAGUUCUACUUCCCAUCCAGCUCCCUUCAGUGUUAAGGCAGUGGAGGAUGGCCCAAGUCUUUGGGCCCCUGCACCCACGUGGGAGACCCAGAUGAAGUUCCUGGCUCCUGGCUUUGGCUUGGCCCAGCCCUGACCAUUGCAGCCGUUUGGGGAGUGAACCAGCAAAUGGAAGAUAAUCUGUGUGUGUGUGUGUGUGUGUGUGUACACCUGCCUCUGCCUCUCCUCUGUAACUCUUUCAAAUAAAUCAAUCUUAAAAAAAAAAAAAAAAAAAAAAAACAGGAGGGGUGGGCUUUGGCAUGCAGUUAAAAUGCUGCUUGGGACCCCACAUCCUGCAUCCGAGUGUCUACUUUGAGUGCCAGCUCCACUCCCAAUUCCAGCUUCCUGCUCAAGUGUUCUCUGGGAGGCGGCAGGGAUUAGCUGCAGUACUUGGGUCCUGCCACCGUGUGGCAACCUGGACUGAAAUCCAAGCUUUGGACUUCAGCCUGGCCCAGCCUCAGCUGCUGUGGGCAUUUGAGGAGUAAACCAGUGGGUGAGAGCCAUCGCUGUCUGUCGCUUUGUGUGUGUGUGUGCCUUUCAAGUACUUUUUAAAAUGACAGGUGGAAUUAGUUUCAGUAGUGUGUUUUAAACUUGGUAUAUCCAAAAUAUUACCAUUUCAAUAUGAAUUCAAUAUAAAAAUUACUAGUGAGAUGCACCUCCCUCCUCCCUCCCUCUCUCACUGAGGCCCAGCACCCAGCAGGCACUGUCUACCACAGCACAUCCCAGUGUGCACAGCAGGCGCUCAGUCGCCACGUGUGGCGUGUGGUGUGGUUGGUGUGGUUAGUGCUGCCGCUGGGGGCUGCGUGUGCUCAUCUGCCCACUCUAAACUUCUCUGAGACUUCCAGUCAGCUCCACGUUCUUUAAUUACUCGAUGUGUUUUCCAAGUUUAUCAGUUCAGUUAGUGAGAAGCUGUUUUCCACUUCCGUGCCUUCCUGCUGCAGCCAGCAGACCCUGGGCUUCCCCCGGAUCCUUGUGUGACUUCUGGGCCUCCCCCGGAUCCUUGUGUGACUUCUGGGCCUCCCCCUGAUCCUUGUGUGACUUCUGGUUGUGUCCGGUUUGAAGGGGAACAGCUUCAAGAGGCGUGACAAGCAGGCCGCUUCAGGUCAAAGCUGGCCUCUGAGCUGGAGGCCACCCUGGGGCUGUGUGGGCUUCAGCAGCGCAGGGACACUGCUGAGAAUAGAGUCCUCCAGGGAGCCGCGGACUGAGCAGGCCCCUCGGCCAGGCCCAGCGGUGCUGUGACACACUAAGCCCUCAGCUUCCUGUCUUCCCAGCUUAAUGACAUCAUCUUAAGAUGAUGAGGAUCGGCUGAGAGCUGCUUAUUUAUAACUACUUUUACUUCUUUAUGAAAAGAAAACAAUGAGAUUUUGAGAUACAUUACUGGGAUUCCCAGAAAAGCUAUCCAUCUUGACGCUCUAAUACGGCGAGUAGCUUGCAGACUCCCUGUAGUAAGUACUGCGGACUUUGUUCGCCAACUUCAGUCCCUGUCGGAUUUGCUUCCUUGGUUUUUUCCUCCAUCCUUUGAAAGCGUCAGGAGCCCUUGAACCUGCUCAGACCCUCCAGAGAUACCAGCAGUCCGAGGCAGGGGUGCCGAGGGCACAGCAGCUUCCUCCAGGGAGAGAAACAGACACACAGGCAGGGCCUUGAGGACUCUGGCCACGGAGGGGUCCCCUGGAGAGACCGAGGAGGAAGCGGCCUCACGGACACCUGGCUUUGACGGCGUGUGCGCCACGGUGCUGUCUACACAAAAGCAGGUGUCGCUCGAAGGCCAAAGGCAUUUACAAGUUAAGUGGAAAGGAAACACCAAAAAAUGUUCAAAUAAGAUAAAAGGAACCUUCUGGAUGAUGACAGGGCGCCAGCAGGGGCAGCUUUACCUCCACAGAGUGUGGGCUUCAAUAAGCCCUCAAGCGACUCUUCCUGUUUAUUUAAGUUUAUUAUGUCAGAGACAGGCACAAACAGGCCUUCAGUGGCUGGGACUGGGGCAGGCUGGAGCCCAGAGCCAGGAACUCAAUGCACGUCUCCCACGUUGAGUGCCAGGGACCCAAGUAUUUGAGCUGUCACCUGCUGCCUCCGAGGGUGGACACUGGCAGGACACUGGAGUUGAGAGCAGAACCGAGGCUCGAACCCGGCACUCCGACAUGGCACACUGGUGUCUUACCCACUGUGCCAAAUCCCCGUCCCCACCCCUUCUACCAGUGAUUUUAUGCAA